rnacentral:lncRNA from 1 species
GGUGUGUUCAUUAGCCCCAGAGGGUGUUCAUUAGCCCCAGAGGGUGUUCAUUAGCCCCAAGGUGUGUUCAUUAGCCCCAGAGCACGUUCAUUAGCCCCAAGGGUGUUCAUUAGCCCCAGAGGGUGUUCAUUAGCCCCAGAGGGUGUUCAUUAGCCCCAAAGGGUGUUCAUUAGCCCCAAAGGUGUGUUCAUUAGCCCCAGAGGGUGUUCAUUAGCCCCAGAGGGUGUUCAUUAGCCCCAAGGUGUGUUCAUUAGCCCCAAAGGUGUGUUCAUUAGCCCCAAGGUGUGUUCAUUAGCCCCAAAGGUGUGUUCAUUAGCCCCAGAGGGUGUUCAUUAGCCCCAGAGCACGUUCAUUAGCCCCAGAGCACGUUCAUUAGCCCCAGAGGGUGUUCAUUAGCCCAAAGGGGCUCGCUGGGCUCUCGUGGCCCACGGACGCGCUCCGGGGCCGGAGCAGGCGCGGGCAGGAAAAGCCCUGACACGGCACAGCCCGGCCUGGGCUCCCGUGGGAGGGAAUUUACUGACCAAAAACGCUGCUUUUGGCUAAAAAAGCUGCUGGUGGUUUUCUGUGGGAGAGCUGGGGGCGCAGCCGGGUCUGUUCCAGGCUUUGAGACACGGAUGCUUCCAGAAAUGAAACCGGGGAUUCCCCUCCGAAAGGUGCCAGGAUUGGGAGGUGACAGCGUCUUCAGGCGGAUCCAGGCUGGUGGGCAUUCCCUCAGCACCUCGGGAAAUGUGGGAAGGUGGGUGAGAUCCCACCUGGGAGAAUUUCGAAGGUUGGAAGGAGGUGGAACCAAGGGAAUUAAAAGCGUUACCAGUGAUGAACAGUUGGGAGGGAAAUGAGGAAAAACAUCUUUCCUCCUGCAAAAGGGAUGAGGAGCCAUUCCUGCACUAUUGCUGAGGCCUGGAUUGUGCCCAGCUCGCAGGGGGAAUCCCAAAUGUGGCAGUAAAUCCCCUGAGCUCCAGGUGUGUGACAGAGACACCCCCGGGCUCAGCUCUGCUCCGAGCAGUGUCCACCUUGCACUCACCCACUCUCCCUUCCACUCCUUGCCUCUCGGGACACAAUUCCAACUCUGGAAUGCCCAAGUGUCUCACCCCAAUGGGGCUGACAGAAUCCAAACCCAAAAGAUUUCAUCUUAAAAAAGAACCACAUGAGGAAAAAAAUGUAUUUUGGUGCCUCGGUAGUGGAACUUCCAGCCCAGACAGGGAGAAGGAGAGGAAUAGAAAGCUCUCCUGGAUAAUUCCUGUCUCUAAGCUCCCAAGCAGCUUUAAGCACAUGCAAGAGCUGCAAAUGUCCAGAGAAUAAAUAUUUUAAAUCUGUAAACA